UAAACAAUUAUUUUUAAAUUUUAAUUGCUAUAACGAUAUUUUGAUUUGAUUUUGAUCAAUAUGCGAUAAAGAAAUAACUAGAAAAUCAAACUGAGUAAUUAUCUGAGAGGAAGUAUUAGUGGGUUUGGAAUCUGAUGUGGGAGUGAUACAUUUUAAUAUAUAAGGUCCAAGAUGUCUAUGUCAGACAUAACUACCAAAUAUUUCACAGUUAAUCAGCGUCGUUACACGAGGUAUAGCUUGAAAUUCACAGAAACGCUGCAAAAAUGAGAUACAUGUUUGCAUACGCAAUGUGUGUGAUGAUAGUGGUCAAUGCGCGGGCUCAUUUACCAGGAUCAAGCAGAAUGUUACCUCAACCCCUUGUCCCAGUCGGUUCACCAUUGAUUGACCCAUUCAGGACAGGCCCUGGUAUGUUUAGAGGCGGAUGGAACAAUGUAUUUCUACCACAAGGACACUUGGGCAGUUUUGGUCAGUGGCCACAAACUUGGGACAGUCGAAAAACCUGGAAUAAUGGUGUCUCUGUUAUAAAA
rnacentral:lncRNA from 1 species